rnacentral:rRNA from 1 species
UAGGGAAUAUUGCGCAAUGGGCGAAAGCCUGACGCAGCAACGCCGCGUGAAGGAUGAAGGCCUUCGGGUCGUAAACUUCUGUCAGAUGGGAAGAAGGUUUGUAGGUUAAGAGCUAGUGAACUUGACGGUACCAUCAGAGGAAGUCCCGGCUAACUCCGUGCCAGCAGCCGCGGUAAUACGGAGGGGGUUAGCGUUGUUCGGAAUUACUGGGCGUAAAGCGCACGUAGGCGGACCAGAAAGUUGGGGGUGAAAUCCCGGGGCUCAACCCCGGAACUGCCUCCAAAACUAUUGGUCUAGAGUUCGAGAGAGGUGAGUGGAAUUCCAAGUGUAGAGGUGAAAAUUCGUAGAUAUUUGGAGGAACACCAGUGGCGAAGGCGGCUACCUGGACCAGUU